rnacentral:rRNA from 1 species
UAGCGUAGGGCGCGAGCGUUGUCCGGAUUUGAUUAGGGGCGUGAAAGAGCUCGGUAGGCGGCUUGUCGCGUCGGCUGUGAAAACCCGAUGGCUUCAACUGUGGGCGGGCAGCUGAUACGGGGCAGGCUGGAGUUCGGUAGGGGAGACUGGAAUUCCUGGUGUAGCGGUGAAAUGCGCAGAGUAUCAGGAGGAACACCCGGUGGCGAAGGCGGGUCUCUGGGCCGAAUACGUGACGCUGGAGGAGCGAAAGCGUGGGGAGCGAACAGG